CUGUGAGCUCGAUGAGUAGGGCGGGACACGUGGUAUCCUGUCUGAAUAUGGGGGGACCAUCCUCCAAGGCUAAAUACUCCUGACUGACCGAUAGUGAACCAGUACCGUGAGGGAAAGGCGAAAAGAACCCCGGCGAGGGGAGUGAAAAAGAACCUGAAACCGUGUACGUACAAGCAGUGGGAGCCUCUUAAUGGGGUGACUGCGUACCUUUUGUAUAAUGGGUCAGCGACUUAUAUUCUGUAGCAAGGUUAACCGAAUAGGGGAGCCGAAGGGAAACCGAGUCUUAACUGGGCGUUAAGUUGCAGGGUAUAGACCCGAAACCCGGUGAUCUAGCCAUGGGCAGGUUGAAGGUUGGGUAACACUAACUGGAGGACCGAACCGACUAAUGUUGAAAAAUUAGCGGAUGACUUGUGGCUGGGGGUGAAAGGCCAAUCAAACCGGGAGAUAGCUGGUUCUCCCCGAAAGCUAUUUAGGUAGCGCCUCGUGAAUUCAUCUCCGGGGGUAGAGCACUGUUUCGGCAAGGGGGUCAUCCCGACUUACCAACCCGAUGCAAACUGCGAAUACCGGAGAAUGUUAUCACGGGAGACACACGGCGGGUGCUAACGUCCGUCGUGAAGAGGGAAACAACCCAGACCGCCAGCUAAGGUCCCAAAGUCAUGGUUAAGUGGGAAACGAUGUGGGAAGGCCCAGACAGCCAGGAUGUUGGCUUAGAAGCAGCCAUCAUUUAAAGAAAGCGUAAUAGCUCACUGGUCGAGUCGGCCUGCGCGGAAGAUGUAACGGGGCUAAACCAUGCACCGAAGCUGCGGCAGCGACACUAUGUGUUGUUGGGUAGGGGAGCGUUCUGUAAGCCUGUGAAGGUGUACUGUGAGGUAUGCUGGAGGUAUCAGAAGUGCGAAUGCUGACAUAAGUAACGAUAAAGCGGGUGAAAAGCCCGCUCGCCGGAAGACCAAGGGUUCCUGUCCAACGUUAAUCGGGGCAGGGUGAGUCGACCCCUAAGGCGAGGCCGAAAGGCGUAGUCGAUGGGAAACAGGUUAAUAUUCCUGUACUUGGUGUUACUGCGAAGGGGGGACGGAGAAGGCUAUGUUGGCCGGGCGACGGUUGUCCCGGUUUAAGCGUGUAGGCUGGUUUUCCAGGCAAAUCCGGAAAAUCAAGGCUGAGGCGUGAUGACGAGGCACUACGGUGCUGAAGCAACAAAUGCCCUGCUUCCAGGAAAAGCCUCUAAGCAUCAGGUAACAUCAAAUCGUACCCCAAACCGACACAGGUGGUCAGGUAGAGAAUACCAAGGCGCUUGAGAGAACUCGGGUGAAGGAACUAGGCAAAAUGGUGCCGUAACUUCGGGAGAAGGCACGCUGAUAUGUAGGUGAAGUCCCUCGCGGAUGGAGCUGAAAUCAGUCGAAGAUACCAGCUGGCUGCAACUGUUUAUUAAAAACACAGCACUGUGCAAACACGAAAGUGGACGUAUACGGUGUGACGCCUGCCCGGUGCCGGAAGGUUAAUUGAUGGGGUUAGCGGUAACGCGAAGCUCUUGAUCGAAGCCCCGGUAAACGGCGGCCGUAACUAUAACGGUCCUAAGGUAGCGAAAUUCCUUGUCGGGUAAGUUCCGACCUGCACGAAUGGCGUAAUGAUGGCCAGGCUGUCUCCACCCGAGACUCAGUGAAAUUGAACUCGCUGUGAAGAUGCAGUGUACCCGCGGCAAGACGGAAAGACCCCGUGAACCUUUACUAUAGCUUGACACUGAACAUUGAGCCUUGAUGUGUAGGAUAGGUGGGAGGCUUUGAAGUGUGGACGCCAGUCUGCAUGGAGCCGGCCUUGAAAUACCACCCUUUAAUGUUUGAUGUUCUAACGUUGGCCCCUGAUCGGGGUUGCGGACAGUGUCUGGUGGGUAGUUUGACUGGGGCGGUCUCCUCCUAAAGAGUAACGGAGGAGCACGAAGGUUGGCUAAUCCUGGUCGGACAUCAGGAGGUUAGUGCAAUGGCAUAAGCCAGCUUGACUGCGAGCGUGACGGCGCGAGCAGGUGCGAAAGCAGGUCAUAGUGAUCCGGUGGUUCUGAAUGGAAGGGCCAUCGCUCAACGGAUAAAAGGUACUCCGGGGAUAACAGGCUGAUACCGCCCAAGAGUUCAUAUCGACGGCGGUGUUUGGCACCUCGAUGUCGGCUCAUCACAUCCUGGGGCUGAAGUAGGUCCCAAGGGUAUGGCUGUUCGCCAUUUAAAGUGGUACGCGAGCUGGGUUUAGAACGUCGUGAGACAGUUCGGUCCCUAUCUGCCGUGGGCGCUGGAGAACUGAGGGGGGCUGCUCCUAGUACGAGAGGACCGGAGUGGACGCAUCACUGGUGUUCGGGUUGUCAUGCCAAUGGCACUGCCCGGUAGCUAAAUGCGGAAGAGAUAAGUGCUGAAAGCAUCUAAGCACGAAACUUGCCCCGAGAUGAGUUCUCCCUGACUCCUUGAGGGUCCUGAAGGAACGUUGAAGACGACGACGUUGAUAGGCCGGGUGUGUAAGCGCAGCGAUGCGUUGAGCUAACCGGUACUAAUGAACCGUGAGGCUUAACCUUACAACGCCGAAG
rnacentral:rRNA from 1 species